CUCCCAUUCUCUCUUCCAAUCAACUUCAUUAUCAACAGUACUGUGUGUCUCUUGUACAAAGAUAACGUCUAAUUUUUUAAGGGAACACAGUCUGAAAAAUGUAGCUCUUUUUCUUUCAUCUCUAGCUCCAUUCAAAUUUAGACUGCCUAUUUUUAACUCACUCAUAAAACAAAAGAAGAAAAGAAAACCAAAAGAGAAACAAGUAAACAAAUAUGAAAAACUAAACAUAUUCGCCAUCUUCUAACUGUCUUCUAACUUUUAAAACCAGUUUCUUUAAGCGAAACCUUUCUUGAUCAGUAAAGAUUUUUUCCCCUGCACUUUCAGAACUUUUUUGAAAAUUCUUAACUGAAUCAAUAAAAAGUUGCAGAUCAGGAAACGCACUCUCAAGUUUAACAUUCCUAGCUCCUUUAGUGCUCUUAAGAAACUUCUUAAUACUCAACAUAGAGUAGCCCCCUCUUUCCAGGGGCAAAGAUUGUGAGGAAACUAAAGAUUCUGCAUCAGAGUCUACCUCAAUGUCACUAUAAGAAGUUUGGGAGCAAUCAUGAAGAGGAAAAAUUUUCGUUUUUCCAGAGAACUGAAACUCAUCUCUUGCUGUUUUUCCCUUAACAUUAUCAUCGUCAAAUUUGUCAUCCACCAGCAUCUCACUUUCUUCAGUCAAAGGAUAUUCCACUUCCUCUACUUCUUUCUGAGUGCUAUUUCUGGCCUUUUCCAUAUCAUGCUGUCGACUGUUCUUAACUGGAGAAGGAGCCUGAAAAAGCUCUUCAUUCCUCUGUGUUGAUCUUUUAUUUUGUUCAAGCUUCUGAGCUUUGUGUGAUUUUUCCGUUUUUAACCCGUCUGAUUCAUUACGUUUUUGUCCCUGAGAAAGUUGUAGUUCAUUCUGUUUUUUCCCCUGAGUUUUAUCCGAUUCACUCUGUUUCUGUCCCUGAAUUUCAUAUGACUCACUUUGUUUUUGUCCCCGAGUUUCAAUUAACUCACUUUGUUUUUGUCCCUGAGUUUCAUUUAAUUCACUUUGUUUUUGUCCCCGAGUUUCAAUUAACUCACUUUGUUUUUGUCCCCGAGUUUCAAUUAACUCACUUUGUUUUUGUCCCUGAGUUUCAAUUAACUCACUUUGUUUUUGUCCCUGAUUUCAUUUAAUUCACUUUGUUUUUGUCCCUGAGUUUCAAUUAACUCACUUUGUUUUUGUCCCCGAGUUUCAAUUAACUCACUUUGUUUUUGUCCCUGAUUUCAUUUAAUUCACUUUGUUUUUGUCCCUAAGUUUCAAUUAACUCACUUUGUUUUUGUCCCCGAGUUUCAAUUAACUCACUUUGUUUUUGUCCCCG
ensembl:lncRNA